rnacentral:rRNA from 1 species
AAAUUGAAGAGUUUGAUCAUGGCUCAGAUUGAACGCUGGCGGCAGGCCUAACACAUGCAAGUCGAACGGUAACAGGAAGCAGCUUGCUGCUUCGCUGACGAGUGGCGGACGGGUGAGUAAUGUCUGGGAAACUGCCUGAUGGAGGGGGAUAACUACUGGAAACGGUAGCUAAUACCGCAUAAUGUCGCAAGACCAAAGAGGGGGACCUUCGGGCCUCUUGCCAUCGGAUGUGCCCAGAUGGGAUUAGCUUGUUGGUGGGGUAACGGCUCACCAAGGCGACGAUCCCUAGCUGGUCUGAGAGGAUGACCAGCCACACUGGAACUGAGACACGGUCCAGACUCCUACGGGAGGCAGCAGUGGGGAAUAUUGCACAAUGG